rnacentral:sRNA from 1 species
UUGUUUUCUUUUCCUCUUCU